ensembl:snoRNA SNORA70 Small nucleolar RNA SNORA70
CUGGUUCAAGUAAGAAAACCAGUAAGGCCUGGUGGGCAAUGGCUGCAAACAGCAGCCUCCUGGGCAGUUGGGGGCACCUGUUGCUCUGGGCUGCCCGAGGGAACCUGAGACAGUC